AUUGAACGCUGGCGGCAGGCCUAACACAUGCAAGUCGAGCGAGCGGCGGACGGGUGAGUAAUGUCUGGGAAACUGCCUGAUGGAGGGGGAUAACCAAUGGAAACGGUAGCUAAUACCGCAUACCAUCAGAUGUGCCCAGGUGGGAGUAGCUAGUGGGUUGGGUAACGGCUCACCUAGGCGACGAUCCCUAGCUGGUCUGAGAGGCUGACCAGCCACACUGGAACUGAGACACGGUCCAGACUCCUACGGGAGGCAGCAGUGGGGAAUAUUGCACAAUGGGCGCAAGCCUGAUGCAGCCAUGCCGCGUGUGUGAAGAAGGCCUUCGUGUUGUAAAGCACUUUCAGCGGGGAGGCGUUACCCGCAGAAGAAGCACCGGCUAACUCCGUGCCAGCAGCCGCGGUAAUUC
rnacentral:rRNA from 1 species